GACGAACGCUGGCGGCGUGCUUAACACAUGCAAGUCGAACGGAAAGGCCCUGCUUUUGUGGGGUGCUCAAGUGGCGAACGGGUGAGUAACACGUGAGUAACCUGCCCUUGACUUUGGGAUAACUUCAGGAAACUGGGGCUAAUACCGGAUAGGAGCUCCUGCUGCAUGGUGGGGGUUGGAAAGUUUCGGCGGUUGGGGAUGGACUCGCGGCUUAUCAGCUUGUUGGUGGGGUAGUGGCUUACCAAGGCUUUGACGGGUAGCCGGCCUGAGAGGGUGACCGGCCACAUUGGGACUGAGAUACGGCCCAGACUCCUACGGGAGGCAGCAGUGGGGAAUAUUGCACAAUGGGCGGAAGCCUGAUGCAGCAACGCCGCGUGCAGGAUGACGGCCUUCGGGUUGUAAACCGCUUUCGCCUGUGACGAAGCGUGAGUGACGGUAAUGGGUAAAGAAGCACCGGCUAACUACGUG
rnacentral:rRNA from 1 species